GAAACGGAGUUGUGCAUCGACAUUUACUGUGUCUGCAAAUAACCCCUUGUGUAAACAGCGGCAGAGGCCUGUGUGUACACACAUCCCACUCCUCCACGCUAUCAGCGUUCUGGAAAAUCUUGCUGGAUUUGCUGCAGUUAGUGUCAUGAAGGAUUUACAUGUGCAUAUGAAUGUAAACACAUGUGGUUAAUGGCCUGCUGACUUGCUUAAACUUGUUGGUGGUUAAGUGUCUUCAAUCCUUUAUAUGCUGUGCAUGUGAGGGGGCAGGAUCCUGCUCUGCUCUCGCCCUGGUGUGGACACAGUGCUGUCCUGGCGCUCGUUUGGGUAUGUGUGGGCUCACAUCUUAGGCUGUGGGGUUUGGCCAAAGUGAACCCUACAGGUCCCCUACACACACCUGGUCCUGAUGAGUGCUGGGCCACAAAAAGGGCACCUAUGUGAAUUCCUCUGCCUGUGAUCCAUGUAGUGAGGGUGCAAGGGGCACAGCCACGAACACACCCAGCUUUAUGGAGUGGGUUUCACCUAUGGAUCUCAGCAACAACUUCACAGAGGAAGAAAUGAGGCAGGAAGGUACCUGCCUGAUGACAUCCAGGGUCUGCCGUCCAAAUGUGCUGGGAUGCACCCAGGCCAUUGGCCAGGGAAAUCACAGGGCAUCUGCUGUCUCUCAGAGCUUCAAGCAAAGCAAGACCAAGAUGAACUAUUUCCGAAAUCUGAGCUGGUGACAGAGUGAAUAUACUGGAGUGGCUGUAUACCAGUGCUGAGCUCAGUUUCUCACUCAACAGAAGGUACAGCUAGUUUGUUAUUCCAUGCAGCAUCAUGAUUUAUCCUUAUUUUUCCCAAAACAUGGUCUAAAAGCCAUGAAUGAAAGUGGAACUGUUCCCCCAGCCACCAGGUGAGGCCAUCAGAGUUGUUUGGGUUGAACUUGACCUCAUAGAAGUCACUGGGAAUUUGUAUGCUGGACUUUUUGGGAGAAUAAUUCAUUUAUCUUCCAAAGUUAACAGCUUUCUGACAACUGCUGUCAUCAGCACUGAAAAAUUACCUUUUUUUUUUUUUUUUUCUGGAUAAACAUGUGCAAAAGAAAUAUGAGGAGAUACUUUGUUUUGCACCAUCCUGGAGGACCCCUGCAAGAAGUAUCAAUGUUGAACCUUUGUCCUGCAGCUGCCACAGAAAGUUAGCUAUGUGUGUUUCCAGCUCAUGCACUUCCAGCAGUCGAAAGUUUUUAUCAAAGCCCAUGUGUUGUCCUUCAUAAAGCUGGGAAAAAAAAAAGAAAAAAGAAAAAAAAACACAUGAUAAAUAAUUCACAUUUCAACUAGCAUUAAAUGGAAACUUUACGAAGCAGAUUCAAAUUGUUUAAUAAACACUGAUAAGUCCCUCCA
rnacentral:lncRNA from 1 species